AGCGGGGUGGAGUAGUUGGUUAACUCGUCAGGCUCAUAACCUGAAGAUUGUAGGUUCGAAUCCUGCCCCCGCCA
rfam:Glycine max cultivar Williams 82 chromosome 17, whole genome shotgun sequence.